UCGCCCAGGGAUGAGCCCGCGUAGGAUUAGGUAGUUGGUGGGGUAAUGGCUCACCAAGCCGACGAUCCUUAGCUGGUCUGAGAGGAUGAUCAGCCACACUGGGACUGAGACACGGCCCAG
rnacentral:rRNA from 1 species